rnacentral:rRNA from 1 species
AAUAUGUUUACUGUAAUUGGAAUGAGAGCAAUUUGAAACACUUAACGAGUAACAACUGGAGGGCAAGUCUGGUGCCAGCAGCCGCGGUAAUUCCAGCUCCAGAAGCGUAUAUUAAUGUUGUUGCAGUUAAAACGCUCGUAGUUGGAUCUUGGAGGUUUAGGUAGAGCUCUGUCCGCCUGAAGGCGAGUACGGACUCUCCUCCUCUGUAUUUGGCAAGUAUGCACGCGGGGCUUUAAUCGGUUUCUGCGUUUGGUGGAGAGUUAAUAGCUCGAGGCCAAGGGGGCGUCGGGUGGCUUCGGCCACAUCGGCGAGUCAGCAUUUUGCCUCAUUUACUUUGAAAAAAAUAGAGUGCUCAAAGCAGACCUUAGGGUCAUUGAAUAAUUCAGCAUGGGAUAAUAGAACACGAAGCUUGAAUUCAUUUUGUUGGUACUAUGAAUUUAGCUUAAUGAUUAAAAGGGAUCGUCGGGGUGGUUUGUAUUGAAGAGCUAGAGGUGAAAUUCUUGGAUUUCUUCAAGACAAACAACUGCGAAAGCAAUCUACUAGGAGAUUCCCAUUAAUCAAGAACGAAAGUUGGGGGAUCGAAGAUGAUCAGAUACCGUCGUAGUCUCAACCAUAAACAAUGCCGACUUAGGAUAGGAGAGUGUUUUCUAUGACUUCCCCUGCACUAUACGAGAAAUCAUAAGUCUUUGGGUUCCGGGGGGAGUAUGGUCGCAAGGCUGAAACUUAAAGGAAUUGACGGAAGGGCACCACCAGGCGUGGAGCCUGCGGCUUAAUUUGAUUCAACACGGGGAAACUUACCAGGUCCGGACAACGCAAGGAUUGACAGAUUGAAAGCUCUUUCAAGAUUCGUUGGGUGGUGGUGCAUGGCCGUUCUUAGUUGGUGGUGUGAAUUGUCUGGUUGAUUCCGUUAACGAACGAGACCUUUACUGGUAAAUAGUCACGGGAAGGUUUUGCGCUAAGGCGCGCGCGGGCCAACUUUAGGAAGGAUCCGUUCCCCUAUGAGUUGCCGAUCCGUCGCGUUGCAUUUCUUUCUGGAAGUACUUCUUACUAGGACUAUCAGUGAUAAGCUGAUGGAAGUUGGAGGCCAAAACAGGUCUGUGAUGCCCUUCGAUGUUCUGGGCCGCACGCGCGCUACACUGAUCCAGUCAACAAGUUUACAACCUUAUCCGAAAGGAUUGGGUAAUCUUUUGAAACUGGAUCGUGAUAGGGAUAGAUGAUUGCAAUUAUUUGUCUUGAACGAGGAAUGCCUAGUAGGGUUGAUUCAACAGAUUGACCCGAUUACGUCCCUGCCCUUUGUACACACCGCCCGUCGCUCCUACCGAUUGGAUGUUCCGGUGAGGAUUCAGGACUUUGAGUUUUUCUGUUUUGGGGUUCUGCUCCUUGACAGAGCUUGGGGGAAUUAUUCAAAUCUUAACAUUUA